rnacentral:rRNA from 1 species
AUUGAACGCUGGCGGAAUGCUUUACACAUGCAAGUCGAGCGGCAGCGCGGGGCAACCUGGCGGCGAGCGGCGAACGGGUGAGUAAUGCAUCGGAACAUGUCCAUGUCGUGGGGGAUAGCCCGGCGAAAGCCGGAUUAAUACCGCAUACGCCCGAGAGGGGAAAGCCGGGGACCGCAAGGCCUGGCGCGAUUGGGUUGGCCGAUGUCCGAUUAGCUAGUUGGUGGGGUAAAGGCCCACCAAGGCGAUGAUCGGUAGCUGGUCUGAGAGGAUGAUCAGCCACACUGGGACUGAGACACGGCCCAGACUCCUACGGGAGGCAGCAGUGGGGAAUUUUGGACAAUGGGGGCAACCCUGAUCCAGCCAUUCCGCGUGAGUGAAGAAGGCCUCGGUUGUAAG